GGCAGUAGCGCAGCGGUUAGCGUACCGGCUUCAGAAGCUGGGGGUCGCAGGUUCAAAUCCUGCCUGCCCCC
rnacentral:tRNA from 1 species